CUUUGAAAUAGAGGAAAUAAAAUCAAUUUACAAAAGAAAUCAUUUCACAAUUCGGAAUCAAUUUGAUUACUCAUCAACCCUCAUAAUUCCUCUCAAUGUUCCCUCAAAUGCAUGUACAGAAUAAUCAAGCAUGGAGAAUUAAGAUUAUAGAGGAAUCUACUACAACAAUUAAUCAAUAAGCUCAGGUGGAAUCAAGUCACACUUGGCAACAUUUAUGAAAAUGAAUAAGGAAUGUGCUAAUGGUGCAAAGUACAAACUCCCACUCACCUGUCAAUCCGGCACAGCCCUGAUAUGCCUCCAAAAAUCUACAGCAGGCAGUGGGAAACUUCCUCCUCUUGUUUUCUAGCUUCUUGCCCAACUGUGACAUGCAUUUACAAUACAUUUAGUCCUGUAUCAAGGGCUAUAAUCUACGUGCCAAUU
rnacentral:lncRNA from 1 species